rnacentral:lncRNA from 1 species
GACUUCGCCGCUGCUGUAGUUCCCCGGCUGGAUGCGGUGACUGGUGCCAGUGCUCAGGCGCCCGCUGCCCUUGACCUCCCGCCCCGCGAGCCCUAACUCAGCGCAGGAGGACCGGCUGCCGCCGCCGCCGCCGCCAGGUCUCUGAAGGUCCAGACAGCACUGAUGGCGAGCUUUGGGUCCGCACACUCUGGAAAGAAGAGAGAAGUGAAGGCUCUAGGUAGGGAGAACAGAGAGCCACUGGGCACAGGCUUCUCUCCUCUUGUUUAAAGAAGCCCAGGGAGGGAUAGAGCUCUGACUGGACAGAAGACUGUACUCUGCAGCCUGCCUUCCUAGAGUUGGGUUGUCACUGUCCUGCAGGGGGCAGCAGCCACCAGCAAACACCACUGCCUGCAGGAGCCUGGGCUGACUGGUUGGGACUCACCGAAGAUCCCUUCUUCCUGGGCGGUGGCCUGCAGGAACUGGAACAGCUGCUCUGUGUAGCCCAACUCUGCAGAAGAGAGAAGACCUAGACCUGGCACCCAGCACAGACACAGCCUGCCUCGAGGACUGCAAGGGAACAAGGGCCUCACCAGUAUCGGGCAGCUGGCCCUGGCGGAGGAAGGCGGCAGCCUGUGCAAAGGCCUUGAGCAGCGGGCUGAGCAGGCGGCAGAGGAAAAGAAAGAAAUCUGGGCAGUGUGACUGCUGGCUGAGCUGGAGGGGACAGGCCGGGGUGAGUGCAGCUCCCCACCGCCUCCCUACCACCUCCCUCCAGGGGCAGCUUUUUGAAACACACCCUGAAGUACCGGCCGUCAGCCUCUCCGAAGUCAUCACUGUCACUAUCAGUAAAGUCCCCACUCGGUUUCCACAGCA